rnacentral:lncRNA from 1 species
CUACUUCAAAGUCUAAGUUCACCACACACUACUGCCUUUGUUUUCUUUACAAUCGUUUCUUCUUUUUCCUUACAAAGAGUAACCCAUACCACAAUUAAUAACCCCAACAAAAAAGAAGAAAAAAAGUCAAUAUACCAAAUGUCGGUAACGUCAUUCUUCUUCAAUUGUUUUGCUCCCUCCUUAUCCUCAUCAUCCCAAGUCAUAGACUCACAAGGAUCUCAAUUGAAAUCAAAAUCAAAGGGAGCACCAAUUGUUGUUUCUUACUUCCCUAUUAACUCUCAUCCCUCACGCUUGUAAUAGGUGGUAAUUAAUUUGCAUCUACUAUGCUUCAUUAGUGCUAACUAAGCUAUGCUUCAUUUAGUA